rfam:Erythranthe guttata cultivar DTN x IM62 scaffold_52_contig_43, whole genome shotgun sequence.
UUGCACGUCGCUACCCCGGGCUCUUUGGAUAAUUGAAUAGAUGAAGAAAGCAGCCCCAAUGCUUGUGCUAAAACUACGCCGUUUUGUGUUGCAGAUUUCGCCGCUUUGUACCUUUCAAUCCCACGGCCUUUCUGUGUCAAAAAAACGCCUAAAUUU